rnacentral:rRNA from 1 species
UGGGGAAUUUUCCGCAAUGGGCGAAAGCCUGACGGAGCAAUGCCGCGUGAAGGUAGAAGGCCUACGGGUCAUGAACUUCUUUUGCCGGAGAAGGAGCAAUGACCGUAUCCGGGGAAUAAGCAUCGGCUAACUCUGUG